rfam:Ixodes scapularis strain Wikel colony gcontig_1108379017080, whole genome shotgun sequence.
GCCCCCGUGGCCUAACGGUUACCGCGCUUGCCUUUCACGCAGAAGUCCAGGGUUCGAUUCCUGGCCGCGGCU